rnacentral:rRNA from 1 species
UACGAAGGGGGCUAGCGUUGCUCGGAAUCACUGGGCGUAAAGGGUGCGUAGGCGGGUCUUUUAAGUCAGGGGUGAAAUCCUGGAGCUCAACUCCAGAACUGCCUUUGAUACUGAGGAUCUUGAGUCCGGGAGAGGUGAGUGGAACUGCGAGUGUAGAGGUGAAAUUCGUAGAUAUUCGCCAGAACACCAGUGGCGAAGGCGGCUCACUGGCCCGGUACUGACGCUGAGGCACGAAAGCGUGGGGAGCAAACAGGG